UAAAAAUAUAUUAAAUAUGUACUUAUGACUUUAAUUGUUUAUGGUUAAAUUAAUUAUGUUUCUUUAGACUGCCUGUCUCAAAUCAUUGGCAAACAAUAUUUCGAUGAUAAAAAUGUAUUGUUUACUAUACUGGACAACAUCCUUGUCCUUUUGUUUUUAAUCUGCGGACAGAAAACAGAAUAAAUUCACUAUGUCAAUCAAAAUCACUAUAUACUGGCCAUCUGAUCAAUACAUCAUUAUUCUAUUGAUGGAUAGUUUCUUAAAAUACCGUCAGAGAAAUGGAUCUUUCAUUUGUUUAAAUUAUGGAACAUUGAAAAUAUACCUGCUAUGUUCCUGAAUCUUGAUCUGUUGCUAGUUGCUACCAUCUGACAAGAACACAAGAAGCUUUCUUCAGACAAUAUUUAUAUUCUUAAAUUUUAUUUUAUAAAUUUACCUUUUUUAUUACCUUAUAUAUUUUUGAA